rnacentral:rRNA from 1 species
CUGCAACUCGCCUGCACGAAGUCGGAAUUGCUAGUAAUCGUAGGUCAGCAUACUACGGUGAAUACGUUCCCGGGCCUUGUACACACCGCCCGUCAAACCAUGAGAGUUGGCAACACCCGAAGUCGGUAGUCCAACCUCGUGAGGACGCUGCCGAAGGUAGGAUUGGCGACUGGGGUGAAGUCGUAACAAGGUACC